rnacentral:tRNA from 1 species
UGUAGCUCAAUGGAUAAGAGCAUCGGAUUUCUAAUCCGAGUGUUGGGGGUUCGAAUCCCUUCAG